rnacentral:rRNA from 1 species
CUGAAUUUAAGCAUAACUAAGCGGAGGAAGAGAACUUACGAGGAUUCCCCUAGUAACGGCGAGCGAAUCGGGAAAAGCCCAGCGUGAAAAUCUGGCGGCGGUCGCCGCCCGAAUUGUAGUCUGCAGAAGCGUCCCCUGCGGCGGACCGAGCCUAAGUCCCCUGGAACGGGGCGCCGGAGAGGGUGACAGCCCCAUCGGGUUCGGACCCUGCUGCAUCACGGGGCGCUAUCGGCGAGUCGGGUUGUUUGGGAAUGCAGCCCUAAGCGGGUGGUAAAUUCCGUCCAAGGCUAAAUACGCGCGAGAGACCGAUAGCGAACAAGUACCGCGAGGGAAAGAUGAAAAGGACUUUGAAAAGAGAGUUAAAAAGUGCUUGAAAUUGUCGAGAGGGAAGCGGAUGGAGGUCAACGUUGCCUGCCGGCCGGACGUGGAACGGAGCGCGUAUGCUUCGGUCCGCCGCUCGGUCCGGUAGGCGAGUCCGCGUGGAUCGUUGCUGCGGCACAAGCGUGCGUGGCUGGCUGCGCACGUGCUGGCGUUGCGACGGUCGAGGGUUGAAGCGUGCGUCCCUUCGGGGGGCGGGCCUCUUGGCACCAGCACGCUCGGGACGUGGAUUCUGUGGGCUUUCCAUUCGACCCGUCUUGAAACACGGACCAAGGAGUCUAA